GACAGAGGGGGCAAGCGUUGCUCGGAAUUACUGGGCGUAAAGGGCGCGUAGGCGGGAUGGCAAGUCGGUCGUGAAAUCCCUCGGCUCAACCGAGGAACGUCGAUCGAUACUGCUGUUCUUGAGGAUUGCAGAGGAGACUGGAAUUCCCGGUGUAGCGGUGAAAUGUGUAGAGAUCGGGAGGAACACCGGUGGCGAAGGCGGCUCACUGGACUGGUAUUGACGCUGAGGUGCGAAAGCGUGGGGAGCAAACAGG
rnacentral:rRNA from 1 species